ACACUUCUGAGGAGCCGCACAAUAGGACGAAACGGCCGUCCAGUGU
rnacentral:hammerhead_ribozyme from 1 species